GCUUUGGUGGCGGAAUGGUAGACGCGGCGCACUCAAAAUGCGCUACCUGUAGGGUGUGAGGGUUCGAAUCCCUCCCGGAGCAC
rnacentral:tRNA from 5 species